rnacentral:rRNA from 1 species
GAUGAACGCUAGCUACAGGCUUAACACAUGCAAGUCGAGGGGAAACGAUGAGAGAGCUUGCUCUCUUAGUCGUCGACCGGCGCACGGGUGAGUAACGCGUAUCCAACCUGCCUCUGACCAAGGGAUAACCCGUCGAAAGUCGGACUAAUACCUUAUGCAUUCGUCGGAUGUCAUCUGAUGACGACGAAAGAUUUCAUCGGCGAGUGAUGGGGAUGCGUCUGAUUAGCUUGUUGGCGGGGUAACGGCCCACCAAGGCGACGAUCAGUAGGGGUUCUGAGAGGAAGGCACACUAGAUUGGAGCCGCGACACAGACCACAACGCGACGGGAGGGAGCAGUGAGGACGACUAGUCAAUGGGGGUAAGCCUGACCCCGCCAAGUAGGGUGCAGGAUGCCGGCCCUAGGGGUAGUAAACUGCUUUUAAGCGGGGAUAAAGUGAGGGACGGGUCCUUUAUUGCAGGUACCGAAUGAAUAAGGACCGGCUAAUUCCGUG